UGGGCAGUCCGGCGCGGCGGAAGCCUCUCAAUCCCGCCAGGUCCGAAAGGAAGCAACGGUACGGAGGUCGCUCCGGGUGCCGCCGGUUCCUGCCCAGAU
rnacentral:SRP_RNA from 1 species